rnacentral:misc_RNA from 1 species
AAACUUAAUGCAAGGUAUGUCAGAUUCUAGGUGUUUACAAUUAUCCCCUUGAAGAUCAUUUGAUUUCAAUUUGAACCUAUCAAUGUUUGAUCUAAAUAGAAUUGGGAUGUGAACAUAAGAGAGAAGGUUGGUUUUGAUUGACGUUACAAAUUUAGGUCAGGCAGGCACCAAAGUAGCAGUCAUGUAUUCAGUAUGUUCUGUUGAUUAGCUUCCAUGUUGUAGAUUUUUAAUGAAAUGAUAGUGCUGCAUGGCAGCAAUAU